AACGUAGGAGACAAACGUUAUCCGGAGUUACUGGGCGUAAAGGGCUCGUAGGUGGCCAACUAAGUCAGACGUGAAAUCCCUCGGCUUAACCGGGGAACUGCGUCUGAUACUGGAUGGCUUGAGUUUGGGAGAGGGAUGCGGAAUUCCAGGUGUAGCGGUGAAAUGCGUAGAUAUCUGGAGGAACACCGGUGGCGAAGGCGGCAUCCUGGACCAAUACUGACGCUGAGGAGCGAAAGCCAGGGGAGCAAACGGG
rnacentral:rRNA from 1 species